AUAAAGAUUCUCUGGUCUGUUCCCCGCCUUUUUAAAAGCUUAUUUCCUUCCAACCAGCCGUUGUCUAUGUUGGGUUGUGACCUCAGAAGGUCUCUGGUUGGUUUAGAUGUUGAGCUCUAAGAGGUUAAGACCUCCUGACUCACAGGCACUGGCACACAAGCCGGGCUCACGGCAGGCGGCGCAGCGGCAGGCCCGGGGCUAUCCGCCCACCCACGGCCCACGCCCGGCACCGGCCCCAGGGGGUGAGCACUGCUGGGCCCAUCGCUCUCUGUCCCUGGCUUCUUCUCAAGGUGAGAGUCGCCAGAACCGGAGGGAACCUGAAAGUCCAUCUAUUUCAAGCCCUUCAUCUUACAACCGGAGCCUGAGGCUUGGUGCUGACAGGGAAGGCGGAGACUGCUGGUAGAGCUCAAGUGAGGGACCAGCUCUGCUAACAGGACACAGUGGCCAGGGUGCUGCUGGGACCGGGUCUGGGCUGUGCCACCCACUCUCCGAGUGAUCUGGUGGAGUCACCCAGCUCCGAGUAGGAUGAAAUUCCUGCUUGGCCACCCUCCUGCACCUCGAACCCCAGGAUUUAGGGUUGCUGAAGAUUUUGCAACACCCGGAGAAGCACAGAACCUCAUGAGAAGUUACUGACCCCGCCUUUCUCGGAACACAAUAAUCCCCUUUCCAGACACAUUGCUCUUGAAAACUCCAGUGACAGGGAACUUACACCUGUCAGAGCAGCCUAUACUUGCCCUAGACCAGUGAUGGAGAACCUAUGACACGCGUGUCAGAGGUGACACGCGAACUCAUUUUUUUGGUUGAUUUUUCUUUGUUAAAUGGCAUUUACAUAUAUAAAAUAAAUAUCAAAAAUAUAA